AACGAACGCUGGCGGCGUGCCUAACACAUGCAAGUCGAACGAGAAAGGGGCUUCGGCUCCGAGUAAAGUGGCGCACGGGUGAGUAACACGUGGGUAACCUGCCUCUAAGAUUGGGAUAACUCGUCGAAAGAUGAGCUAAUACCGAAUAAGACCACAGUUCCCGCGGGAACAGGGGUCAAAGGUAGCCUCUGCUUGCAAGCUAUCACUUAGAGAUGGGCCUGCGCACCAUUAGCUAGUUGGUAGGGUAACGGCCUACCAAGGCAAAGAUGGUUAGCUGGUCUGAGAGGAUGAUCAGCCACACUGGAACUGAGACAAGGUCCAGACUCCUACGGGAGGCAGCAGUGGGGAAUAUUGCGCAAUGGGCGAAAGCUUGACGCAGCAACGCCGCGUGAGUGAUGAAGGCCUUCGGGUCGUAAAGCUCUGUCGGGAGGAACGAAUGCUCCUGAGGUUAACAGCCUCGGGAGGUGACGGUACCUUCAAAGGAAGCACCGGCUAACUCUGUG
rnacentral:rRNA from 1 species